rnacentral:lncRNA from 1 species
ACCAGAUUCUGAAUGAUAUGCAUAUAUAUAAUUAGCAUUAAAAAAUACAUAACUUAAUACAAUACAGAAUAAUACAACUACGAUCACCUCUAUACAAAAGGAACUAAACACAUCUAUCGUGCGAAUACCUAUAUCAAUAGCCUCUAUAACCUCUGCACAACCAUAUCUGCUGAAUCGAUCUAUCCUCGAGCAACUGUUUAACUGAAAAGGGAUUAAUGAUAGGGUGAACAUUUCCACUUGCUCAGUAGUGACUCAAAUUUCCAAUAUACUAACUAAUCAUGCAUGGCGAUUAAUCAUACUAAACAUUUGAAAGAAUGCAAGUUUUAAUAAUUGAAAGUAACUUUCUACUGUAAAUAAUAAAUAAUAUAUAUACAAGCAUUCAUACAAUAGGUCGGGUAUCUGUAUCCUAUCAGAGUGUUGAGGGUACGACUGGUACUCGGCCCCAGUCCCAGGCAAUAUCUUAGUUCAGUACUUACUAGUGUGAACCUGCACCGUUAGUUCCUAAUUAUCCGGUCGGGUGAUUACCGUUUUGUGUCUCGAGAACACUAACCCUCUUUCAGGGCUCAGGUGGGCCUUCUGACCACGACGCUCCAGAGGGAGAAUCACCUAUCACGGUGGUCAACCGUUUGACGACUACAGACUGCUCAGGAUCCUGACACACGUCCAGGAGUGGACUACCUCUCACUCCCCGCGUCUAACCUCCUCGAGGUAGCAUGUAUCCCCAGAACACACUAACCAUCCACAACAAAUACCACUAAAAGCAUGGCAAUCCAGGAAGGUAGAAAAGGAAUCCCCGGAAACAUCCUACAAUGUUCGCUUCUGGAAAGUGCCCAUUCACCGUCUAAAGGUGAACAUUGUAUAUGUAAUCCUAGAAAGAACUGUCAUCUCUAGAAUAUGACAAGACUUCCUUCUUUGUAGAAAUUCACAGAUCCCUUGCCAAACAGCCUCGUGAUACAAUAUAUAUAAUAUAUAGAGUGUCUUUUAAUGAUAAUUAAUUAAUCUGGCAUGUGUGACGAGUCCCUGAAUUUAUCAACCAUCAAACCAGUCCCCUAUUCACGGCUACCCUAACCGGGCCAAAGCCGAAGAGACUAUCCCCUAUUCCAUGGCUACCCUAACCGGGCCAAAGCCAAAGGGAUUAUAUCCGAUCUGUAAUAAUAUGUUCGUGUAAGCACCCAGAUCAUAUUCCUAACUCAGGAACCUCACACCAUACCAACAUACAACUGGGAUCUCACAUCCCACAUACAAAAUCCAUCUCCUUUUUCCCAUCCUGGAAAAGAGAUGCAAUAAAACCUUCAAUAGCUUUUUCGUUUAUAAAACUAUUUCGAUAUACAUAUACUGUUUUAAUAACUCCAGUAUAAAACAUGAUAUCUGUAACUAAUCACUUUAAUAAAAGCUAUAAUCGAUAAACCACGAGUAAUCUAUAUAUACCAAACAAAACCAUGCAUGCAUUUUUAUCAUCAAUAAUAUAUCAAUUAAUUUGCAACAUUUAAAAUAUGACACAUGAAAAGACAGUAUAAAAGAAAUGUAAGUCCCUACCUCUUUCUUGCUCCCGCGUCACAUCUAAUCUCAAGCUUACUACUAUGUCCAAAAACCUAUAACGGAAGCGAAAUAUAAUUAUAAUUUAUAUAAAAAAAUUAUUAUAUACUUUUCUAUUUGUGCGCAUCUCGUGUUUCUAAUUUGGUUCCAAAUAUAGUUGUAAUUUCGAGCCAUAGGCUAUUAUUAAUUGACUUGUUUUUCUACUAAAUUUAUACAUGUUAAAUGAUUAUGUGAAAACAUGUUAUUAUCUUUCUAAACUGUAACUCAUUACCAGGCGAAUUUAGAACAACACAUGAUAGAUAUAUAUAUAUAUAUGGUUCAGACUGCCCAUCAAAACCGGCCACAAAUCUUUAUCAAUUGGUGCCUAGAUUUGUGACUAAACUCAAUAAAAGAGAUAGUUCCUCCAAUUUAAACCCCACUGAUCUGUUCAUUACAACCCCAACUGAAGCUAAGGUUACAUAAAUCUAAUGACCCAUGAUGCCUUAUUAGAAUCAAAGUGUUAUUCAAGUGUGUUAUUUCUCAAAACCAAAUUUCUAAGGUGAUAGAAAAAUACCUGCCAGACUAUUUCUCCCUAGCUAUUCCUGCUUUCUUUCCCUCUAUCCAACUAGCUAAUUACUUCGGCUCUGCAUAUUCCAUCUAAUUACUGAGUGCUAAGUUGAUACUAACUUCACAAGAAUUUUAUGGUGGUGGAUACGUUGGAUUUCAUUCCUUCUUCCAAACCUUAACUUAAUCUCCUACAGAUGGUUUCACAUUUAAUAGAAAGACUUUGAUACCAG